AAUUCAUUAAUGGCUGACCAAGGCUCCCUGACUUACAUAGGCCUCGGCUCUAGGGGUGAUAGCCAGUCCUGGUGUCUGAGUAACU